rnacentral:rRNA from 1 species
CCGCUAUCAUGCAGUCGAGCGAGAAGGUGUAGCAAUACACUUGUAAAGCGGCGAACGGGUGAGGAAUACAUGGGUAACCUACCCUCGAGUGGGGAAUAACUAGCCGAAAGGUUAGCUAAUACCGCGUACGCCUCCCGGACUUCGGUUCGGGAGGGAAAGCGAUACCGUGGGUAUCGCGCUCCUGGAUGGGCUCAUGCCCUAUCAGCUUGUUGGUGAGGUAACGGCUCACCAAGGCUUCGACGGGUAGCUGAUCUGAGAGGAUGAUCAGCCACACUGGCACUGCGACACGGGCCAGACUCCUACGGGAGGCAGCAGUAAGGAAUAUUGCGCAAUGGGCGAAAGCCUGACGCAGCGACGCCGCGUGGGGGAUGAAGGUCUUCGGAUUGUAAACCCCUUUCGGGAGGGAAGAUGGGAUGGGGUAACCCAUUCGGACGGUACCUCCAGAAGCAGCCACGGCUAACUUCGUGCCAGCAGCCGCGGUAAUACGAAGGUGGCAAGCGUUGUUCGGAUUCACUGGGCGUACAGGGAGCGUAGGCGGUUGGGUAAGCCCUCCGUGAAAUCUCCAGGCUUAACCUGGAAAGUGCAGAGGGGACUGCUCAGCUAGAGGGUGGGAGAGGAGCGCGGAAUUCCCGGUGUAGCGGUGAAAUGCGUAGAGAUCGGGAGGAAAGGCCGGUGGCGAUGGCGGCGCUCUGGAACAUUUCUGACGCUGAGCUCGAAAGCGUGGGGAGCAAACAGGAUUAGAUACCCUGGUAGUCCACGCCUUAAACGAUGGAUACUAAGUGUCGGCGGGUUACCGCCGGUGCCGCAG